rnacentral:rRNA from 1 species
ACUGCUUGGGAAAGCAGACCAAAGAGAGUGAAAGUCUCGUACGCGAAAACCUGAACAAGCCAUCAGUAUCCAGAGUACCUACGGACACGUGAAACCCGUAGGGAAGCAGGGGGGACCACCCUCCAAGCCUAAAUACUACCUAAUGACCGAUAGUGAAGCAGUACCGUGAGGGAAAGGUGAAAAGAACCCCGGGAGGGGAGUGAAAAGAACCUGAAACCCUGUGCUUACAAACUGUCAGAGCGCGUUAAAGCGUGAUGGCGUACUUUUUGUAGAACGGUCCGGCGAGUAUUUGUAUGCAGCAAGGUUAAGGUGUUAGAGCACCGCAGCCGAAGGGAAACCGAGUGUUAACAGCGCGAAUAGUUGCAUGUAAAUGACCCGAAACCCGGUGACCUACCCAUGGACAGGAUGAAGCGAGAGUAAAAUCUCGUGGAGGUCCGAACCCACCACUGUUGAAAAAGUGGGGGAUGAGCUGUGGGUAGCGGAGAAAUUCCAAUCGAACCGGGAUAUAGCUGGUUCUCCUCGAAAUAGCUUUAGGGCUAGCCUUGUAUUAGUAUAGCGGAGGUAAAGCACUGAAUGGGCUAGGGGCCUUCACGGGUUACCGAACUCUAUCAAACUCUGAAUGCCGCAUAUAUGAUGUACAGGAGUCAGACUGCGUGAGAUAAGUUUCGCAGUCAAAAGGGAAACAGCCCAGAUCUACAGCUAAGGUCCCUAAAUUGGUUUAAGUGGAAAAGGAUGUCCGGUUGCAUAGACAACUAGGAUGUUGGCUUAGAAGCAGCCACUCAUUUAAAGAGUGCGUAAUAGCUCACUAGUCGAGUGACUGGGCGCCGAAAAUUCAACGGGGCUAAAACCAAUACCGAAGCUUAGACUGUAUGCAUAGAAUUAAUAUUCUAAUUAUGUGGAAUAACUUGUGGCCGCGAAGCGGACACUAAAUUCCCCCUCAGAUAAAAGCUGAGGAGUCCCUCAGAUAGAAUCAUAAUGAGGGUGAUUAGAUUAGGGUGUUAAUUCUAUGCAUACGGGGUAGAGGAGCGUUGUGUUGUAGGGCGAAGCGAUACCGAGAGGAGUCGUGGACGAAGCACAAGUGAGAAUGCCGGAAUGAGUAGCGAGAAUUAUGUGAGAAUCAUAAUGGUCGAAAACCUAAGGUUUCUUGAGGAAGGUUCGUCCGCUCAAGGUAAGCCGGGAGCUAAGGCGAGGCCGAAAGGCGUAGUCGAUGCACAUACUGUGGAAAAUCAGUAGCCACCGAAAUUGUCAGCAAAUGGGGACGCAGGAGUAUAGCCUAACCAUGCCGUUGGUUGAGCAUGGUCUGAAAAGAGGAGCGAAAUUAGAGUAGCGAAGUAGGCGAUUACACACUGACGAGAAAAGCCAUUUGCCUUUGGAUUAGGUGCCCGUACCGUAAACCGACACAGGUGGGUGAGGAGAGAAUCCUAAGACCAGCGGGAGAAGUGUUGUUAAGGAACUCGGCAAAAUGACCCCGUAACUUCGGGAUAAGGGGAGCUCUAGAGAUAGAGCCGCAGAGAAUAGGUCCAAGCGACUGUUUACCAAAAACACAGGUCUCUGCUAAAUCGAAAGAUGAUGUAUAGGGGCUGACGCCUGCCCGGUGCUGGAAGGUUAAGAGGAGAGGUUAGCGCAAGCGAAGCUUUGAAUUGAAGCCCCAGUAAACGGCGGCCGUAACUAUAACGGUCCUAAGGUAGCGAAAUUCCUUGUCAGGUAAGUUCUGACCCGCACGAAUGGCGUAACGAUUUGGACGCUGUCUCGACAACACACCCGGCGAAAUUGUAGUACUGGUAAAGAUGCCAGUUACCCGCGACAAGACGGAAAGACCCCAUGGAGCUUUACUGCAGCUUGAUACUGGAUUUCGGUAUUACAUGUACAGGAUAGGUGGGAGACUUGGAAGCGUGGACGCUAGUCUGCGUGGAGUCACCGUUGGGAUACCACUCUUGUGAUACUGAAAUUCUAACCAACACCCGUGAAUCCGGGUGGGGGACACUGUCAGGUGGGCAGUUUGACUGGGGCGGUCGCCUCCCAAAGUGUAACGGAGGCGCUCAAAGGUUAGCUCAGCACGGUCGGAAAUCGUGCAAAGAGUGUAAACGCAUAAGCUAGCCUAACUGCGAGACAUACAGGUCGAGCAGUAACGAAAGUUGGAGUUAGUGAUCCGGCGGUAUGAGAGUGGAAUUGCCGUCGCUCAACGGAUAAAAGCUACCCUGGGGAUAACAGGCUUAUCUCCCCCAAGAGUCCACAUCGACGGGGAGGUUUGGCACCUCGAUGUCGGCUC